rnacentral:rRNA from 1 species
UCCGAAUGAGGAAACUCACAUGGGAAACCCCAUGUAUCAUUAAGUGAAUACAUAGCUUAAUGAAGGUAACCCAGGGAACUGAAACAUCUAAGUACCUGGAGGAAGAGAAAGAAAAAUCGAUUUUCUUAGUAGCGGCGAGCGAAAGGGAAAGAGCCCAAACCGGAAACUUGUUUCCGGGGUUGUGGACAUAACAUAAAAGUGGAGGCUAUUGUAACUGAAGAGAACUGGAAAGUUCCACCGUAGAAGGUAAUAGUCCUGUAAGUGAAACGAGAAGACCACGAGUUAUGAUCCAGAGUACCACGAGACACGUGAAACCUUGUGGGAAGCAGGGAGGACCACCUCCCAAGGCUAAAUACUACCUGAUGACCGAUAGUGAAGCAGUACCGUGAGGGAAAGGUGAAAAGAACCCCGGGAGGGGAGUGAAAUAGAACCUGAAACCGUGUGCCUACAACCGCUCAGAGCCCCUUAUGAGGGUGAUGAGGUGCUUUUUGUAGAACGAGCCAACGAGUUACGGUAUGUAGCAAGGUUAAGUACUUAAGGUACGGAGCCGAAGGGAAACCGAGUCUGAAUAGGGCGACUAGUUGCAUGCCGUAGACCCGAAACCGGGUGACCUAUCCAUGGCCAGGUUGAAGCGAGGGUAAAACCUCGUGGAGGACCGAACCACGUUGCUGUUGAAAAAGCAUGGGAUGAGCUGUGGAUAGCGGAGAAAUUCCAAUCGAACCCGGAGAUAGCUGGUUCUCUCCGAAAUAGCUUUAGGGCUAGCGUCGAGUAUGAGUAGUGGAGGUAGAGCACUGAAUGGGCUAGGGGGCAUAGCGCUUACCGAACCUUAUCAAACUCCGAAUGCCACAUACUUUGAGCUCGGCAGUCAGACUACGAAUGAUAAGAUCCGUGGUCAAAAGGGAAACAGCCCAGAUCGUCAGCUAAGGUCCCAAAGUGUAAGUUAAGUGGGAAAGGAUGUGAGAUUUCUAAGACAACUAGGAUGUUGGCUUAGAAGCAGCCAUUCAUUAAAAGAGUGCGUAAUAGCUCACUAGUCGAGAGAUCUUGCGCCGAAAAUGUAACGGGGCUAAACUUACC